rnacentral:rRNA from 1 species
GACGGAGGAUGCAAGUGUUAUCCGGAAUCACUGGGCGUAAAGCGUCUGUAGGUGGUUUAGUAAGUCUAUUGUUAAAUCUUGAGGCUCAACUUCAAAUCAGCAAUGGAAACUGCUAGACUCGAGUAUGGUAGAGGUAAGAGGAAUUUCCAGUGGAGCGGUGAAAUGCGUAGAUAUUGGAAAGAACACCGAUGGCGAAGGCAUCUUACUGGGCCAUUACUGACACUCAGAGACGAAAGCUAGGGUAGCAAAUGGGAUUAGAUACCCCAGUAGUCCUAGCAGUAAACGAUGGAUACUAGAUGUUGUGCUUAUGCAGUAUCCUAGCUAACGCGUUAAGUAUCCCGCCUGGGGAGUACGCUCGCAAGGGUG